ACAGCAGCAGCCGCGGUAACACGGAGGGUGCAAGCGUUAUCCGGAUUUAUUGGGUUUAAAGGGUCCGUAGGCGGAUCUGUAAGUCAGUGGUGAAAUCUCACAGCUUAACUGUGAAACUGCCAUUGAUACUGCAGGUCUUGAGUAAAUUUGAAGUGGCUGGAAUAAGUAGUGUAGCGGUGAAAUGCAUAGAUAUUACUUAGAACACCAAUUGCGAAGGCAGGUCACUAAGAUUUAACUGACGCUGAUGGACGAAAGCGUGGGGAGCGAACAGGAUUAGAUACCCCUGUAGUCCCUGUCUCUUAUAC
rnacentral:rRNA from 1 species